rnacentral:lncRNA from 1 species
GGGUUUGGAAAGAGAAAAUUUUGGAAGAUCUCCCUGGAGCAUUGUGACAGAACAGGCUGACCCAGGUCUGACCCAUUUUAUGGAGCUUGGAUGAAAAUCUAAAGCCUUGCCUGCAGAUGCUGCAGAGCACCUCUAGCUGCUAGGCACAAAAACAAACCACAGGAGGGUGCAUUACAGGGAUUUUUGACCACCAGCAAGUCCUACCCAGGCAGAAAGAGCAUGGAUGCAACAUUAGAGUGUAGUCAGGAUAAAUUGGACUGCAGUAUUAAGUUACAGACUGCUAAACUACAAGCUUAUCUCUCCAAAUUCAUGGCAGAAGACGUCAACUACUGUGUCAGCGAACUCCAGCAGCUACUAAAGAGGAUAAACCCGCAAACUUCUCUAAUUCUUGCCUCUUUAUUUAUCUGA